rnacentral:rRNA from 1 species
UGGGGAAUCUUCCGCAAUGGACGAAAGUCUGACGGAGCAACGCCGCGUGUAUGACGAAGGCCUUCGGGUUGUAAAGUACUGUCUUUGGGGACGAACGGUAUCUAUGUAAAUAAUGCAGAUACAUGACGGUACCCAAGGAGGAAGCCCCGGCUAACUACGUGCCAGCAGCCGCGGUAAUACGUAGGGGGCGAGCGUUGUCCGGAAUCAUUGGGCGUAAAGGGCGCGUAGGCGGGUCAUUAAGUCUGGUGUGAAAGGGCAGGGGCUCAACCCCUGGAAGGCACCGGAACUGGUUAUCUUGAGGACAGGAGAGAAAGCGGAAUUCCACGUGUAGCGGUGAAAUGCGUAGAUAUGUGGAGGAACACCAGUGGCGAAGGCGGCUUUCUGGACUGUAACUGACGCUGAGGCGCG